GCUGUUUUCCGCAGCAUUUUGUAUAUUUUUAUUAGGAAAAAAAGCCGUAUCUUACGGAAACCCUGCGACCGUUACAUGGAACACCAGGGUUCCGCAGGACACCAUUUGGGAAUCGUUGCUCUAAAGCUACCGUUAUCAUAGGCGCGGCUAACGAAUUUUCCAGCACUUUUGACUUAUUUGACCAAGUUUAUCUUAUUCAGGAAUUUUCAUCUUUUUAUCUUAUUAACCUGUCAAUCAUUUUCUUUUCCGUACCUGUAGCAUUUCAUUAUUUAUUAUUAUUAUUCUUAUGACAAACGCGUGGUACGAAUUAAUGUAAUUGUAAGAUAAACAUUCGCCUUUUCCCGAUUAAAUAUUCGGUCAUCAUCGCGUCUUCUUCUGUCUCAUAUACAUGAAGUGACUGUUGUCGAAAUGUUGUAGUAUUGUAGAAUAAUAAUACGGUUGCCGAAGAAUCUGACCCUUGCGGAGAAUCGUGUUUUCUAUAUAACUGUGCUAAUUGUGAUGUUAAUUACUUAUUUAUUAUAAUUCGUUCCUUUAUUAAUUCCUGACGUUUAGUGAUCCGUGGGAAAUCACUGCAACACCUGAGUUACCUGCUUUUCCUUGUAAUGAAGUAUUGGAACAUAGAAGUCUCCUGUUCAUCAAACGAAUAAUGGAAGCUACAACUACGAAGUUGAUUCAAUAAAAAGCAGUAAUAUGAUCGAAGCUGUGGAAGUUGCACAUUAUGGAACUAUGAAGCAUCACCUUUACACCCGAGGAUGAAGUAUACGUAAAAGUUAAUUUUUCUCCAUUUGAUACAAAGGCAGAAUGCUACCGUUCCUACAGGAAAAAUAGUGACAAUGAAUUGAUUGGCCAAUAAAAAUGAGAGAAAAUUGAAGCUAGUUUUGAUGCUCCUGUACCAACCAAUAGUGUAGUUUUAUCUGGACUUGAUUCAUG